rnacentral:rRNA from 1 species
CCUACGGGAGGCAGCAGUGAGGAAUAUUGGUCAAUGGGCGUAAGCCUGAACCAGCCAAGUAGCGUGGAGGAUGACGGCCCUACGGGUUGUAAACUCCUUUUAUGCGGGGAUAAAGUGCGCCACGUGUGGCGUUUUGCAGGUACCGCAUGAAUAAGGACCGGCUAAUUCCGUGCCAGCAGCCGCGGUAAUA